rnacentral:misc_RNA from 1 species
UAAAUGAUAUUAUGAUUCGAAGAUGCAACAAUAGUAAAAUUAACGUUAGAAAUCAUUAAAAUAUGUAAAAGCCAUAUUGUUACUUGGCAAGCUUCUUCCUUCCGGAUUCUUUAAUUUCUGAAUUGUGAAUCAGAGGAAGAAGUUCCUUCUAAAUUGAUAGAUAGGUUGUGAAUGAAAUCCAAGCAACGAUAUUUAAACAGUAGAACCAUGCAGUAUGGCGUAGAUGUAUAGAACAAAUAGAAAAUAUAUGUGUAUAUUACUAAGUAAAAUAAAUUUUUCAUCUGUUCAUUCCAAAAAGAGGUAUUUAUAUUUAAAUGUAAAUGUAGCAAAUGUGUACCUUAUGUAACAAAUAGUGAGAAACAUUAUUGCUAUGUUUCUCAAUAUUUAAUGAAAAUUUGUAAUCUAUUGAUUCUAUGAAAGAUAAUGAAUACUGUUUGUUAAAUUAUUAGUUAAUUA